AUUGUUGUUGUUAUGUUGGUGCAAAAGUAAUUGUGGGGCUUGCCAUUAAAAGUCAUUGCAAAAACUGCAAUUACUUUUGCUCCUACCUAAUA
rnacentral:miRNA from 1 species